GCCUGGCUGGCUCAGUUGGUAGAGCAUACGACUCUUGAUCUCGGGGUUGUGGGUUCGAGCCCCAUGUUGGGUG
rnacentral:tRNA from 1 species